GAAGCAGGAAGUCUAAUCUUUCUUUCUGGAAGAACAACGAAGGAGGACACAUGGAGUUUGUAUGCGCUCGCACCAAUAUUAUUUUUAUGAGCAAUAACUUGUUGAAUUCCCCGUUCAGUCAACAGGUUUGUCUUUUGGGGACAGAUGGUGCUGGCUAUUCCAGUAGUGUACUGAGAUUUGAUUGGCUGGCAGGGUACUGAAGAUGCUAUAAGACACAUAUGUCAGAGUCAAGGCCCGCGGGCCACAUCCGGCCCGCGAGAAGGUUUUUUACGGCCCCUGGGAUGAUCUUGAUUUAUUAUUAGAACCGGCCCGCAGACCGCAGCAAGCCGGCAGCCCGCAGAUCUUUUACACGCACCAAUACUACAUUUCCCACAAUGCAACGGUGACGCACCGAGCAGUAGGCUGCUUCAUUUCAAUAUUUAUUGGCACAGCAGUCGUCAGCAUCACAGUAAAAUUAACUUUCAGAUACCCAUCAAAAAUGGCAAAACGGAAGGUGGACACUGAGAACCGGGGGUUUCAAACAAGGUGGGAGUCGGAGUAUAUGUUCACGGAGGUAGCUGGAAAACCUGUGUGUCUUCUGUGUGGAGAAAGUGUGGCGGUACUGAAAGAGUAUAAUCUGAGACGACAUUAUGAAACGAAACACGCGGACAAAAACAAGAAUAUGGACAUGGAACAAAGGCUACAAAAGGCAGAGGAAUUAAAACCGAGGCCUCAAAUCUCGACAGGCUCUGUUCAAAAAGCCAAAUCACAAGGCCAGGCUGCUGUCAAGGCCAGUUUUAUUUUGGCAGAAGAGAUCGCUAAAUCAGCCCGGCCAUUUACGGAGGGGGAUUUCAUCAAAAACUGCAUGAUUAAAGUUUGUGACGAAGUUUGCCCAGAAAAAAGGCAACUCUUUUUAAAUGUGAGUCUGAGCAGAAACACCAUUGCCGAGAGAGUAGACCAGUUGUCCAUCAAUCUAAAAGAGCAGCUUGUGAAAAAGGGAAAAGAUUUCAUUGCAUAUUCCUUGGCUGUGGAUGAGAGCACCGACAUUUCUGACAUUGCCCAGUUGUCAAUUUUCAUCCGCGGAGUGGACUCCAGCCUAAGCGUGACAGAGGAGUUUUUGGCUUUACGUCCUAUGCAUGGCACAACUACGGGGCAUGAUUUGUAUGAAGAGGUGUCAAGAUGUGUAAAUGAGAUGGAGCUGCCUUGGGAAAAACUCGUGGGUUUGACAACCGACGGAGCACCUGCGAUGUGUGGACACAGGAGCGGACUGGUGGCGAAGAUACGGGAAAAGAUGCAAGAGGAAAACGCGACAGAGUUAAUGGGCCAGGAUGUAUAUUGAAGACUGGUGUAAAUCUUGCCCUGUGAUUGCGUUUGAUGAUCCAGUAUGUGGAAUAUGAAGACUUAAAUCUCAACCCUAUGGUGAGUGUGAGGGCUAAAAAUAGCCAAUUGUUUUCCUUCAGUCUUCUACUGGAGUUGUGAUGACUUCUCACUUUUGCUGUUUUCCUGGUCUGACUAAAUUGGGAUGCUGUGACAUACUGAACUAAUUGAUAAUUAUAGGUAGACGCAACGCAGCGAUAUGGUAUAGAUGCAGAGAGUAAAGGGGAUAGUGGGUCAAUUUCCACAACUAAGAGUGUUGAAGCGUGAGCAUCUCGCUUAGCUCAAUAUCUGCGGUGCACCUCGUGGCAGCAGCAUUUUGCAGGGUCUACCUUCAAUCAUUAAACCUGCAAUCCCUGACUUAAGGUUUGAGACUACUUAUUUCAUCAUGCAGGGUUGUUAGACCUGCAGUAGGGGAGUUAUUUCCUGUGUUGUGAGGUGUCAACUAAGAUUUUUCUACCCAUGAACAUUCAUUUUUAAUGGGAUUGUGAUGCCUUUUCUGACAUUUCUGCUAAUUUACCCCUCGAUGGUAGAAAGUAGUUUUAGGUUGCUGGCUAAUCUCAGACAAUGGUAAUUUAUUUAACCGAAUGCUUCUAUUCAUUGACAAUUCACAAGGUUUGGAAAGCGGUGCAGGUAAUCUUCAAAUGUGACCCGGAGACCUAAACUAUCACCCUAUUUGCAACUUUCUUGCCUGUCAAAAAAGCACAACCUUGGUCUGACUCCCCUGCUUAAAUUUUAAGUUAAAUGUUUGUUUUUAAUCAGAUUUUAUUGUCUUGUUAUGAAAUAAAAUAUUUUAUGGUACA